ensembl:lncRNA
CACAAGUGUCAGUAAUUACCUUAGACAACUUUUCCAUUAAACGGCAUGGACUUCUUUUCUCAUUAUAGGUCAAGUCUCUCAGGUUUCUUGAUAUGUCUUGCGGAUCUUCUUAUCAGCAUUUCACCUGGAAGAGAAGUAUUGGUUAGAUUAUCAGUGUCUGUGUCUGUGUUGCAGUGUGCAUUAUGUGUGGAGAUUGACUCGGACUCAGCUUGGGUUUGACUGAGCUCUUGGUCUGGAACAGUCUCUGGUGUUGCUGGUGUUUUCAGGAGACUGCGCCGGUUUCGCCUGAUGAUCUGUCCUUCUGGUGUUUUCACAGUGUAGGACUGUGGAGCGACCUCUUGAAGAACAGUAGCUUUCGUCGUCCAUCCUUCAGGACUUUCAAUCCUGACUGCGUCGUCCCUGGACAGUGGUGGAAGCGGCUUUGCUGUUCUGUCAUAGAAAUUCUUUUGUUUCAUUUUCUGAUGUUUCAGCUUUUGUUCCAGCUUUGGGCGUUUCUUUUGCUUUGCAGAGGUUGGAAGUGUUGUUCGAAGCUUUCUAUUCAUCAGCAGCUCAGCAGGUGACAGUCCGCAUUCCAGAGGUGAUGCUCUGUAGCUCAGUAGAGCCAGUCCAUUGACUACACUCAGCUCACCUCUGACGUGGAAG